rnacentral:rRNA from 1 species
CCUACGGGCGGCAGCAGUGAGGGAUAUUGGUCAAUGGGGGAAACCCUGAACCAGCAACGCCGCGUGAGGGAAGACGGUUUUCGGAUUGUAAACCUCUGUCCUCUGUGAAGAUAAUGACGGUAGCAGAGGAGGAAGCUCCGGCUAACUACGUGCCAGCAGCCGCGGUUAUACGUAGGGAGCAAGCGUUGUCCGGAUUUACUGGGUGUAAAGGGUGCGUAGGCGGCUCUGCAAGUCAGAAGUGAAAUCCAUGGGCUUAACCCGUGAACUGCUUUUGAAACUGUAGGGCUUGAGUGAAGUAGAGGCAGGCGGAAUGCGCGGUGUAGCGGUGAAAUGCGUAGAGAUCGGGAAGAACACCAGUGGCGAAGGCGGCCUACUGGGCUUUAACUGACGCUGAAGCACGAAAGCGUGGGUAGCAAACAGGAUUAGAUACCCUAGUAGUC